rnacentral:lncRNA from 1 species
UCGAUCAGUUUCUAGGUUUUGGGUGAAUUGUGGGCCUAGGGUUUUUUAGUCAUCAGAAAACACCAGUUUUCUUGAUUGUAUGGUUAUGUGAUUUGAAUUUGUUAAUCUUUUAUAUGGGACAUAUCUCAAGGAGUGCUGAAUUCACCUGUCGUGUUGAAGUCAAAUGCAUACGCAAUAGCUAAGAGUGGUUCAGGCUGACAUGUGGCGGUGGGAAUUGCAUGAAAGGUGUGGGGCGUGAAGACAACGAUAUGUGGUGUGAUGGGUGCGAAAACCCCGUUGUCUUCCCGAGAGCAAGGCUAGAACUCGAGGUGUUUGACUCAACAGCCGAAGCUGUCGUUGUCUGCUUUGAAGACACCGCCCAACGCUUGACAAAGACCACUGCUCAUAGUAUACUCACAGCAGAGUCUGGCCUAUCACGCGUCUAUAACCUUU